CCCCCAGCCGAAUCAGCAGCAUCCUCAUUGCAAUAGUAGAAACCACCAUUAUUCAAAGCAGUCAAUGAACAUGAAGCCACCAGAUAAGGCAUUUUGCGGAAGAAUCGAGCUAGACUGCUAGCUAAAGCAGCAUUGCCAAUACCAUGAUCACUAUCGCCGCCAUCAUCACUGUCUUCAUCAUGGUGGCAGAAUUCUUCAGCACGGUGCUUGAGAGUCUCGAACAUAAGCUCAGGCUCGUGCUGCAUAACCCGGAG
rnacentral:misc_RNA from 1 species